CCUACGGGAGGCAGCAGUGAGGAAUAUUGGUCAAUGGACGAAACUCUGACCCAGCAACGCCGCGUGAAUGAUGAAGGUCUUCGGAUUGUAAAGUUCUUUUCUAAGGGAAGAAGAAUGUGACGGUACCUUAUUACUAAGCCUCCGCUAACUACGUGCCAGCAGCCGCUGUAAUACGUAGGAGGCGAGCGUUCUCCGGAUUGACUGGGAGUAAAGGGUGCGUAGGUGGGUUGGCAAGUUAGUGGGGUAACUCCAAGGCUCAACCUUGGAAUUACUAUUAAAACUGGUUGACUUGAGUGCAGUAGAGGCAGCCGGAAUUCCUUGUGUAGCGGUGAAAUGCGUAGAUAUCAGGAAGAACACCAGUGGCGAAGGCAGCUUACUGGACUGUAACUGACGUUGAGGCUCGAAAGCGUGGGGAGCAAACAGGAUUAGAUACCCGUGUAGUC
rnacentral:rRNA from 1 species